UACAGAGGUCUCAAGCGUUGUUCGGAUUCAUUGGGCGUAAAGGGCGCGUAGGCUGCUGGUCAAGUCGGGUGUGAAAUCUCAGAGCUCAACUCUGAAACUGCACUCGAUACUGCUUUGCUUGAGGACUGGAGAGGAGAUUGGAAUUCACGGUGUAGCGGUGAAAUGCGUAGAUAUCGUGAGGAAGACCAGUGGCGAAGGCGGAUCUCUGGACAGUUCCUGACGCUGAGACGCGAAGGCCAGGGGAGCAAACGGG
rnacentral:rRNA from 1 species